rnacentral:lncRNA from 1 species
GGAGAGCAGCAAGAGAAAGAAAGAGAGAGGCAAGCGAAAUUCCUGAAUGGAUAGACAGAUGCUACGUCAUCGGAGCUGCAUCCUCCACUCCACAAGAGGCUAGGAGCUGGGGGGAGAGAGGCAGUCCAGCCGCAGGGGCCACCCGAACAGUCUCUCCUCCUCACAGAAGCCUGGAGCUGGGCAUCCAAGAAGAAGCAGCCUCAUUUGUUUUCUGGUGUCAUCGUAGGUGGCCACCUAUGGCUUUUGGGCUUCUCACCUGGGGCGGGUGGGUUCUGCACCACCCUCCCACCCUCCUUCCUCCGUGUGGACGAUAGAGCCACAUCCAGCACCACGGACAGCUCCCGGGCGCACUGGAAGCUGAGGGUUUUGACAGCGGCAGGCCACAUAGGCAAGGAAGCUGGUGCAUGCAGUGUCUCUGGGCAAGGUUAUGCAAACCAAAAAGAAGAAUGUACUUCAUCUGGUUGGGCUGGAUUCCCUCUGAUAAGCCUUCCCAGUUGACUGAAAGAUGAGGCUAGGCUCUAGCAAGUUGAAGUCAAACCAGCUCCUUCAAGAAGCUUUGAGCAGAAUGAAGUGGGGAGGACCCAGCUUCCAGCCCAGGAAGCCCACUGUACCUGGAGCCAUCUGGGAUAAGACUUUGACCCAUGACUCCCAUAUCCACAGCCUGUCCAUCCUAGCCCAUCCCAGUUUAUCCUGUAUCAUUUGAGCUGGGAUUCCCACAUCCUCUGAGUUGGAAGUCCCAUCUCAAGUCUUCAAUAAAGACUCUUGAAUAUUGAAUCACAUUAA